AUACAGAGGGUGCGAGCGUUAAUCGGAAUUACAGGGCGUAAAGCGCGCGUAGGCGGUCUAUUAAGUCAGAUGUGAAAUCCCAGGGCUCAACCUUGGAACUGCAUCUGAUACUGGUAGACUAGAGUUUUGGAGAGGGAAGUAGAAUUUCAGGUGUAGCGGUGAAAUGCAUAGAGAUCUGAAGGAAUACCAGUGGCGAAGGCGACUUCCUGGACAAAAACUGACGCUGAGGUGCGAAAGCGUGGGUAGCAAACGGGAUUAGAAACCCUAGUAGUCC
rnacentral:rRNA from 1 species